CUAAUGAGACUGCCGGUGACAAACCGGAGGAAGGUGGGGAUGACGUCAAGUCCUCAUGGCCCUUAUAGGUGGGGCUACACACGUCAUACAAUGGCUGGUACAAAGGGUUGCCAACCCGCGAGGGGGAGCCAAUCCCAUAAAGCCAGUCGUAGUCCGGAUCGCAGUCUGCAACUCGACUGCGUGAAGUCGGAAUCGCUAGUAAUCGUGGAUCAGCAUGUCACGGUGAAUACGUUCCCGGGUCUU
rnacentral:rRNA from 1 species